ACGUACGUGUGUGUGUGUGUGUGUGUGUGUGUGUGUACACACACACACACACACACACACACACACAGAGGUAU